rnacentral:rRNA from 1 species
GACGAACGCUGGCGGCGUGCUUAACACAUGCAAGUCGAACGAAGUGGCGAACGGGUGAGUAACGUGUAAUCAACCUGCCCUUCAGAGGGGGACAACAGUUGGAAACGACUGCUAAUACCGCAUACUGACGGGGGGGAUUGCGGUUGAUUAGCUAGUUGGCGGGGUAACGGCCCAACAAGGCGAUGCUCAGUAGCCGGUCUGAGAGGAUGAACUGCCACAUUGGGACUGAGACACGGCCCAGACUCCUACGGGAGGCAGCAGUGGGGAAUCUUCCGCAAUAGACGAAAGUCUGACGGAGCAACGCCGCGUGAGUGAUGACGGCCUUCGGGUUGUAAAGCUCUGUUAAUCGGGACGCGGUACCGGAAUAGAAAGCCACGGCUAACUACGUGCCAGCCGCCGCGGUAAUUC